rnacentral:lncRNA from 1 species
ACAUGCCAGGCCCAGUAGCUCUCUCUUCCAGCUGCUUGCCCACCUAGAACUCGAAGCUACUUCUCCAGCACUGAAUCUGUCUGCAUAUUGCCAUGCUCCCUACCAUGACAAUGGACUAACCCUCUGAAACAUAUAUGUUCAGACAACACAGCAAAUUGCAUCAUGACUUCAUGUGUCCCUUCAAGGCACUUGGUGACUCUCAGAGAGAGGCUGCUUCUUCAGUCUCUUAACUGGAGACACAGAAAAACAUGGAAUGGCUGCUCACCUGGAUGGAGGAAGAACUCCCAGCAGGAAAGUCACCUGGAUAACAUCAGCUGAGGCCUCAUUAGAACCAGUGAUCAUGACCCCCUGUACAGGAGGGUCCGAGGAGAGACAGGAAGAGCCCAAGCCAGCACACUCGGGUCAUAGAGGGAAGAAGUCUGCAUUUUACUGGAUCUCUUUGCUGCCUUUCUUUUCUUCCUGAAUCCAGAGACAGGAACCCCGAGAGGUUGUGGCAAGAAUGGCAUCUUCAGUCCUCCUCAAGCCAGCUCAUGACAACAUCAAUAUCAAUAUUUUUCAGAGGACACACAGAUGAAAUGUUUCCUUUGAAAUUAAAUAUUUUCUUCCUGGGACAAUUUCCCUUUGGGUAUUGGGAGAGCUCAGCUUAGGCCCACCUGCCUCUGGAUUGCGCCACUCUCAGUGGGCUGAGCCCUCCUACAACAACUAGCGAUCAAGAACAUGCCCCACAGACAUGCCCACAGUCUAAUCAGACAGAGGCAAAUCCCCAGUGGAGGUUCCCUCUUCCCAGCAUUCCUUCAAAGGACCAUGAAUGAAAGGCUUGGUCACCAGCUUUUGGUGCCACCGGGAGUGACUGGAACCUUUAGGAGGUGGGAUCUAAUGGAGAGGCUGAACUGAACUGGAACCCAGAUGCAGAGAAGGACGAGUGAAGAGCACAGGGGUCCAGACCAGGCUAGUGAAACCCACAGAAACAGCUGACCUGAAUAUCCGGAAACUCUUGCUCCCCAGACUGAUAGCUGGAAUACCAGCAUGGGACUGAUCCAGACCCCAGGAACAUGGAUUUCUGCAUGGUCACCUUCCCUUGAAGUGAGGUGAUGGGUACCAGGAGGCCAAUAAGUUGAUGGAACAAUAAUGAUACCGCUUCUUGUUGUCAUCACUGUAAACUCCGUGAUAAGGGCCCAGAGGAACACGACCCUUGGAAUCUCUGAUGCUGGAAGCCUGGACACUUCCUCUGGCUUUGGCUGGGCUGUCUGCCAGGGUCAGAAAGCAUGCAGCUUCAGCCAGUUCUUGAGGCACGGACUCUGUGAUCUGUUUUCUGACUUACCUUCAUGCAGUAGAAUUAGAAUGCAGUUGCCUCAACCUUUUUGCCCUCCAAAUCCUUAGUCCCUGGCCAAGGAUCACUCACUUGAAC